GACGAACGCUGGCGGCGUGCCUAAUACAUGCAAGUCGAGCGGACUUAGAAAGCUUGCUUUUUAAUUUAGCGGCGGACGGGUGAGUAAGUCGUGGGAAACUUGCCUGUAUUACUGGGGUAACUCCGGUAAAGCGGCGUAAAUACCUACUAAUCCUUAUCUAGUAACACAGGAAUGCUGAGAGACGGUUUUAGCUGUCACUCACAGAUGGGAUCGCGCCGCAUUUGCUAGUUGGGGGGGUAACGGCGCACCAAGGCGACGAUGCGUAGCGGACCUGAGAGGGGGAUCGGCCACACUGGAACUGAGAAACGGCCCAGACUCCUACGGGAGGCAGCAGUGGGGAAUAUUGGGCAAUGGGCGAAAGUCUGACGCAGCAAGGCGGCGUGGGUGAGGAAGGUUUUCGGAUCGUAAAACACGUUUGUUAGGGAGGAAGGGGUGUAGGAGGAAACGCUCCUGACUUGACGGUACCUACACAGAAAGCCACGGCUAACUACGUG
rnacentral:rRNA from 1 species